rnacentral:pre_miRNA from 14 species
GAGGGCCAGUUGAAGCAGGCAUGUCUUCAUUCCUGAUUUCCUGAUGGCAUGAAACACAUGGCCUGUUCCUAUUGGCACCUU